CUCACCUUAAAUAUCGCCACACAAGCGCAUGUAUAACCAAAGUGUACACCAAUCGCAGCCAUGCUGAAAGACCUCGGCUCGGACUGCCGGAAGCACAAGCAUGCGACCCGUCUUCCGCUCCCUGGAUCUACUUCCGGUCACACCUGGUGAAAAAUGUUUUGGGUAUGUGUGUGACCAAGUGACUCCAUAGCGCACCCUUGCGCGGGGUCAUGUGACCAAAAAAACCCUACACAAAGUCGGCCAUCUUGAAUGGCGGGUGUCGACAUUUGGAUUUUGGAAGACUGAGCGCAUUGGGAAAGGAAGGUUAUUGAGGAACAGGUCACUUGCCCUUCCUCAUUUGUCUCCAGUCUGACGUCUUCCCCUGAUCCCUGAAUUUUUCCACCAGUUCCCCAAUUACCCUCUUGUGAUAUUUGAGUCCGCAACUCCCUUUGUCUUGUGCUUGUGUUUGUCCUUCUUCCAAGUCAUAGUCGAAGUAAUGAAUUCAUUGUUGUUUUUUUCUGUUCAUUCAUAGCCUCUUGAGUGAUUUUUUUUUUUGUUAAUCUUUUCAGCACAGCUCAGUCUUGCAGUGUUGUUUCAUAGCCUUUUUGUUUCCUCCAUUGGAGUGAUUUUAAUUUGUUAAUAUUUCACAGCUUAGUCUGUCAAGUACAGUUUCGUUUUAUAGCUGUGUGCCUACCUCCUUUGGAGUGAUUUUGUGUUGUACUUUUUAUAGCCCAAGCCUUUUCAGUGUAGUCAGUUUGUAGUCUUUUGUUUUAUCCAUUGUGGAUUUCUGAGAUUUUUUUGAUUUCUGAGAUUUCUUUUCUUGCCAUCCCUAGUUAUCAGAUUGCCAGGUAAAGAUUUUCACAACCUGUUCAUUUGUCACUCUAUCCUGAAGCUCUUGAAUUUCAGAAUAAAAAAUGUUGAAUCUGUA